rnacentral:rRNA from 1 species
AUACGGAGGGUGCAAGCGUUAUCCGGAUUCAUUGGGUUUAAAGGGUGCGCAGGCGGAAUGAUAAGUCAGUGGUGAAAUCCUACAGCUUAACUGUAGAACUGCCAUUGAUACUGUCAUUCUUGAGUACACUUGAAGUGGGCGGAAUGUAUCAUGUAGCGGUGAAAUGCAUAGAUAUGAUACAGAACUCCGAUAGCGAAGGCAGCUCACUAAAUUGUAACUGACGCUCAGGCACGAAAGCGUGGGGAGCAAACAGGAUUAGAUACCCGAGUAGUCC